UGGGCUGUGGCUCAGGGGUAGAGCUCUUGCUUGGCAUGUAGGAGGUUCUGGGUUCCAUCCCUGCUCUUCAA
rfam:Cricetulus griseus cell line CHO-K1, whole genome shotgun sequence.